rnacentral:rRNA from 1 species
AGAAUCAACGCUGGCGGCGUGCCUAACACAUGCAAGUCGAACGAGAAAGUGGAGCAAUCCAUGAGUAAAGUGGCGCACGGGUGAGUAACACGUGACUAACCUACCCUGGAGUGGGGGAUAACUGAGGGAAACCUUAGCUAAUACCGCAUAAUACCUACGGGUCAAAGGAGCAAUUCGCUUAAGGAGGGGUCGCGGCCGAUUAGUUAGUUGGCGGGGUAAUGGCCCACCAAGACUAUGAUCGGUA